GGGUUGUGAGGUUAAGCGACUAAGCGUACACGGUGGAUGCCCUGGCAGUCAGAGGCGAUGAAGGGCGUGCUAAUCUGCGAUAAGCGCCGGUAAGGUGAUAUGAACCGUUAUAACCGGCGAUACCCGAAUGGGGAAACCCAGUGUGACUCGUCACACUAUCAUUAACUGAAUCCAUAGGUUAAUGAGGCGAACCGGGGGAACUGAAACAUCUAAGUACCCCGAGGAAAAGAAAUCAACCGAGAUUCCCCCAGUAGCGGCGAGCGAACGGGGAGGAGCCCAGAGCCUGAAUCAGCAUGUGUGUUAGUGGAAGCGUCUGGAAAGGCGCGCGAUACAGGGUGACAGCCCCGUACACAAAAGCGCAUGUGCUGUGAGCUCGAUGAGUAGGGCGGGACACGUGGUAUCCUGUCUGAAUAUGGGGGGACCAUCCUCCAAGGCUAAAUACUCCUGACUGACCGAUAGUGAACCAGUACCGUGAGGGAAAGGCGAAAAGAACCCCGGCGAGGGGAGUGAAAAAGAACCUGAAACCGUGUACGUACAAGCAGUGGGAGCACAGGUUUACCUGUGUGACUGCGUACCUUUUGUAUAAUGGGUCAGCGACUUAUAUUCUGUAGCAAGGUUAACCGAAUAGGGGAGCCGGAGGGAAACCGAGUCUUAAUUGGGCGUUAAGUUGCAGGGUAUAGACCCGAAACCCGGUGAUCUAGCCAUGGGCAGGUUGAAGGUUGGGUAACACUAACUGGAGGACCGAACCGACUAAUGUUGAAAAAUUAGCGGAUGACCUGUGGCUGGGGGUGAAAGGCCAAUCAAACCGGGAGAUAGCUGGUUCUCCCCGAAAGCUAUUUAGGUAGCGCCUCGUGAAUUCAUCUCCGGGGGUAGAGCACUGUUUCGGCUAGGGGGCCAUCCCGGCUUACCAACCCGAUGCAAACUGCGAAUACCGGAGAAUGUUAUCACGGGAGACACACGGCGGGUGCUAACGUCCGUCGUGAAGAGGGAAACAACCCAGACCGCCAGCUAAGGUCCCAAAGUCAUGGUUAAGUGGGAAACGAUGUGGGAAGGCCCAGACAGCCAGGAUGUUGGCUUAGAAGCAGCCAUCAUUUAAAGAAAGCGUAAUAGCUCACUGGUCGAGUCGGCCUGCGCGGAAGAUGUAACGGGGCUAAACCAUGCACCGAAGCUGCGGCAGCGACACUGUGUGUUGUUGGGUAGGGGAGCGUUCUGUAAGCCUGUGAAGGUGGCCUGUGAGGGUUGCUGGAGGUAUCAGAAGUGCGAAUGCUGACAUAAGUAACGAUAAAGCGGGUGAAAAGCCCGCUCGCCGGAAGACCAAGGGUUCCUGUCCAACGUUAAUCGGGGCAGGGUGAGUCGACCCCUAAGGCGAGGCCGAAAGGCGUAGUCGAUGGGAAACAGGUUAAUAUUCCUGUACUUGGUGUUACUGCGAAGGGGGGACGGAGAAGGCUAUGUUGGCCGGGCGACGGUUGUCCCGGUUUAAGCGUGUAGGCUGGUUUUCCAGGCAAAUCCGGAAAAUCAAGGCUGAGGCGUGAUGACGAGGCACUACGGUGCUGAAGCAACAAAUGCCCUGCUUCCAGGAAAAGCCUCUAAGCAUCAGGUAACAUCAAAUCGUACCCCAAACCGACACAGGUGGUCAGGUAGAGAAUACCAAGGCGCUUGAGAGAACUCGGGUGAAGGAACUAGGCAAAAUGGUGCCGUAACUUCGGGAGAAGGCACGCUGACACGUAGGUGAAGUGAUUUACUCACGGAGCUGAAGUCAGUCGAAGAUACCAGCUGGCUGCAACUGUUUAUUAAAAACACAGCACUGUGCAAACACGAAAGUGGACGUAUACGGUGUGACGCCUGCCCGGUGCCGGAAGGUUAAUUGAUGGGGUCAGCGCAAGCGAAGCUCCUGAUCGAAGCCCCGGUAAACGGCGGCCGUAACUAUAACGGUCCUAAGGUAGCGAAAUUCCUUGUCGGGUAAGUUCCGACCUGCACGAAUGGCGUAAUGAUGGCCAGGCUGUCUCCACCCGAGACUCAGUGAAAUUGAACUCGCUGUGAAGAUGCAGUGUACCCGCGGCAAGACGGAAAGACCCCGUGAACCUUUACUAUAGCUUGACACUGAACAUUGAGCCUUGAUGUGUAGGAUAGGUGGGAGGCUUUGAAGUGUGGACGCCAGUCUGCAUGGAGCCGACCUUGAAAUACCACCCUUUAAUGUUUGAUGUUCUAACGUGGACCCGUAAUCCGGGUUGCGGACAGUGUCUGGUGGGUAGUUUGACUGGGGCGGUCUCCUCCUAAAGAGUAACGGAGGAGCACGAAGGUUGGCUAAUCCUGGUCGGACAUCAGGAGGUUAGUGCAAUGGCAUAAGCCAGCUUGACUGCGAGCGUGACGGCGCGAGCAGGUGCGAAAGCAGGUCAUAGUGAUCCGGUGGUUCUGAAUGGAAGGGCCAUCGCUCAACGGAUAAAAGGUACUCCGGGGAUAACAGGCUGAUACCGCCCAAGAGUUCAUAUCGACGGCGGUGUUUGGCACCUCGAUGUCGGCUCAUCACAUCCUGGGGCUGAAGUAGGUCCCAAGGGUAUGGCUGUUCGCCAUUUAAAGUGGUACGCGAGCUGGGUUUAGAACGUCGUGAGACAGUUCGGUCCCUAUCUGCCGUGGGCGCUGGAGAACUGAGGGGGGCUGCUCCUAGUACGAGAGGACCGGAGUGGACGCAUCACUGGUGUUCGGGUUGUCAUGCCAAUGGCACUGCCCGGUAGCUAAAUGCGGAAGAGAUAAGUGCUGAAAGCAUCUAAGCACGAAACUUGCCCCGAGAUGAGUUCUCCCUGAGACUUAGAGUCUCCUGAAGGAACGUUGAAGACGACGACGUUGAUAGGCCGGGUGUGUAAGCGCAGCGAUGCGUUGAGCUAACCGGUACUAAUGAACCGUGAGGCUUAACCUUACAACGCCGAAGCUGUU
rnacentral:rRNA from 1 species